AGCGAACGCUGGCGGCAGGCCUAACACAUGCAAGUCGAACGAACUCUUCGGAGUUAGUGGCGGACGGGUGAGUAACACGUGGGAACGUGCCUUUAGGUUCGGAAUAACUCAGGGAAACUUGUGCUAAUACCGAAUGUGCCCUUCGGGGGAAAGAUUUAUCGCCUUUAGAGCGGCCCGCGUCUGAUUAGCUAGUUGGUGAGGUAAAGGCUCACCAAGGCUACGAUCAGUAACUGGUCUGAGAGGAUGACCAGCCACAUUGGGACUGAGACACGGCCCAAGCUCCUACGGGAGGCAGCAGUGGGGAAUCUUGCGCAAUGGGCGAAAGCCUGACGCAGCCAUGCCGCGUGGAUGAUGAAGGUCUUAGGAUUGUAAAAUCCUUUCACCGGUGAAGAUAAUGACUGUAGCCGGAGAAGAAGCCCCGGCUAACUUCGUGCCAGCCGCCGCAGUAACAC
rnacentral:rRNA from 1 species